rnacentral:rRNA from 1 species
UUGGAGGGCAAGUCUGGUGCCAGCAGCCGCGGUAAUUCCAGCUCCAAUAGCGUAUAUUAAAGUUGUUGCAGUUAGAAAGCUCGUAGUUGAAUUUUGGGUUUGGCCGGUUGGUCCGUUCUUGUAACGAGUACUGGUCGGUUGGGCCUCACCGCUUGGGGAAGUGUAAUGCCCUUUAUUGGGUGUUGCUCGGAGCCAAGACCUUUACCUUGAAAAAAUUAGAGUGUUUAAAGCAGGCUUAUGCCAGAAUACACUAGCAUGGAAUAAUAGAAUAGGACAACGAUUCUAUUUUGUUGGUUUCUAGGACCGUUGUAAUGAUUAAUAGGGAUAGUUGGGGGCAUUAGUAUUCAAUUGUCAGAGGUGAAAUUCUUGGAUUUAUUGAAGACUAACUACUGCGAAAGCAUUUGCCAAGGAUGUUUUCAUUAAUCAAGAGCGAAAGUUAGGGGAUUGAAGACGAUCAGAUACCGUCGUAGUCUUAACCAUAAACUAUGCCGACUAGGGGGAUC